UACGAAGGGGGCUAGCGUUGCUCGGAAUCACUGGGCGUAAAGCGCACGUAGGCGGAUAUUUAAGUCGGUGGUGAAAUCCUGGAGCUCAACUCCAGAACUGCCUCCGAUACUGAAUGUCUUCGAGUCCGGGAGAGGUGAGUGGAACUGCGAGUGUAGAGGUGAAAUUCGUAGAUAUUCGCAAGAACACCAGUGGCGAAGGCGGCUCACUGGCCCGAUACUGACGCUGAGGCACGAAAGCGUGGGGAGCAAACAGG
rnacentral:rRNA from 1 species